CCCCCUUUUUUUUACAAACAUGUCUUAAUGAUUUCUUUAUUAAGUCUGGCCUGCUCAAUGAUUUAUUAUUAAAUAGCCGCGGUAUAUUGACUGUGCGAAGGUAGCAUAAUCAUUUGUCUUUUAAUUGGAGGCUUGUAUGAAUGGUCGGAUGAAAAAGUGUCUUUCUUUAUAAUAAAUAUUGAAUUUAAUUUCUUAGUUAAAAAGCUUAGAUAAUUAAAUGGGACGAGAAGACCCUAUAGAAUUUUAUUAUAUUAUAUUUAUUAAUUUAUUGGUUAUUUUUUAUUUUUAAGUUAAAUAUAAUUUUGUUGGGGCGACAUUGAGAUUUUUUUAACUCUCAUAAUUUACAGUUUAUAUAUUUAUAUAUUUAGGAUCCUUUAUUAUGGAUUUUUAGAUUAAAUUACCUUAGGGAUAACAGCGUAAUUUUUCUGGAGAGUUCUUAUCAAUAGAAAAGUUUGCGACCUCGAUGUUGGAUUAAAAUAAGAUUUAAGUGCAGAAGCUUAUUUUCUAGGUCUGUUCGACCUUUAAAUUUUUACAUGUGGGUUUUUAACCCGGGG
rnacentral:rRNA from 1 species